ACACUGCAAAUAAAAUGUGUCAAUUAGGGCUGGGCGGUAUGACGGUAUACUCCGUUACCUUGAUAUAAAACGUCAGACGUAACAGGUUUUUUAUUCCCUGUAAUUAAGUGGGUGUGGCUAACUUGGCACUCUCGCAUGUUAGACUGAGUGUGACGGAGAAACAUGUCCAAUAAUCCACUCAUAACAAAUAUUUGAGUAAUUUCUGUCAUUUCAAAAUAAGCGCAAGUAAUCCACAGCGUGUCUCUCUCGCGUGCAGAGUUCUCCCGAUGCGCGCGCAAGGAGAUGUCGCCAAAUAAAAAAGCACUUCUCGCUUAAACUCGCGUUUAUAUCAGUGACACGUGUACUGCUGGAGCUAUGUAACGUUAGUUUGACGCCCAAUUUGCUCAUUGUACAAACAUCUUUAAUCAGAAAUACGAGAAAGAGACGCAACGGUCGAGGUCUAUCAGAAAGUAAAGAGCGUCCAGACCUAAAACAGUCUAUGGUCAUCGCCUCAUAGCAGCUGUCAUAUUUAUAAUAUCCAUAUCUAGAGAUCCGUCAGGUAUUUAUCCUGCCUCCUGCCGUGGACAUUCAACCCAGCCUACAUCCAAGAGUGACGUCAGAUACCACGCCCACAUCCAAAACGUCACAAAAAAGGAACCAUCUCCAACACAUUAGAUGGCGAUAAUGUAUCCUAAAGUUGGUGCCGAUAAAGAACACAAAGAAGAAAUUAAAAUGAGAGUAAGGACUGGAGUUGUUUGCAAUGUCGUGUUUGUUUGUCAUGUUUUUCAGCAUCCUACACAUUUCAUGUUCAAGCCUGAUGCAGAGGAGUUUGGCAAGGAUUGACAGUUUGAAUGUCCCUGAUGCAGUUUCACUUGAAGUGAAAAAUGAUCUUUACAUUACAUUUUUGAACAUCUGGAGUAUCUGGACAUAUUCAUUUUCCAAUGGUUAUGAGGAACAAGGCCUAAAGGUCCAUGACAUGUUCAGAGAAUAAUCUCAAUUAUUUUUGUUCAGUAAUACAUACAAAAAUGCCCAAUUAAGCAAGAAGUGUCUUUUUAUUUAUCUUAAAGUAUCUGGGUGACCUAGACACAUUUUAUAUCAAGUUGUGUUGAAGAAAAAAGCCUCUGAAUGUCAAUGCCAGUUAUUAAACUUCUACUGAAGCACAAUAUGACCUUCUAGCACAUGUCACUUUUGGUCUACACUACACAUAAUGUUUACAUUUAUUAUCAUAUGCUGCCUAUGCAUCACUGUCUAUUCUAACACACACCACUUUGUGUUGCACACAAUGUUUACAUCUAUGAUUAUGCGCUCUAUGCUUCAUUGUAUUGUGUUGUAUACUAUGUUGGGUACUGCGUAGUGUUUAUACUGUAUAUUGUCUUGUGAAUAUUGUAAAUUGUAAAGUCAUGUAUAGUGCCUCUAUUUGUAGUUAUCAUGGAGGUUGCAUCACCAGAAUUGAAUUGUACAUGUACAGUGCAAAUAAUUUCUCUGUUUAGUCUGUGUUUUUGUAGACUAUUGCAUAUCGAUCCUAUAAUUGAAAUGUUUAGACUUUAUGAUAAGUGGAAUAUGUUUAGAUAAUUAAAUAAAAAAAAUAAUUUAUUAUAAACAUAUGUUAAGCGUUACAUUCACAAUACCAAAAGGUAAUGUCCACUUAAAUGUAAAACUUGUUUUCGGUAUGUUACAACCGACCAUAUUGAAUGGGAAUUUAUCUCAUUACAUACUGUAAUUGAAUAAAGGAAAGCAUACAUUAUUGUUUUACCAACUGUUUUAAUGACAAAAUUGGCUUUGUAUAUAAUGUUUUAUCAAAAUUUGGGUGGUCUAGAUUUAACAAUAUUUUAUUUAGAUACCGAGAUUGCCAUAAACUGCUUCACCACACUUCCGACAGGAUCAUUUUUUAACAACUUAUCGGGUUUCCGUAAGGGAAAAUCAUGCUUUGCCAUAUAUUG